CCCUUAGAUGUUCUGGGCCGCACGCGCGCUACACUGAUGCAUUCAACGAGUCUAAAACCUGCUCUGAUAGGGGUGGGUAAUUUUUUGAAUGUGCAUCGUGAUUGGGAUAGAUGAUUGCAAUUUUUCAUCUUCAACGAGGAAUGCCUAGUAAACGCAAGUCAUCAGCUUGCAUUGAUUACGUCCCUGCCCUUUGUACACACCGCCCGUCGCUCCUACCGAUUGAAUGAUCCGAUGAAUAUCAUGGAUUGAGGAUGCAAGUAGGUUAGCCUAUCUUCAUCUUCGAGAAGUGAAGUAAAUCUUAUCAUUUAGAGGAAGGAGAAGUCGUAACA
rnacentral:rRNA from 1 species